rnacentral:rRNA from 1 species
CACCAGACUCCUACGGGAGGCAGCAGUGGGGGAUAUUGCACAAUGGGGGAAACCCUGAUGCAGCGACGCCGCGUGGGUGAAGAAGCGCCUCGGCGCGUAAAGCCCUGUCAGCAGGGAAGAAAAUGACGGUACCUGAAGAAGAAGCCCCGGCUAACUACGUGCCAGCAGCCGCGGUAAUACGUAGGGGGCAAGCGUUAUCCGGAUUUACUGGGUGUAAAGGGAGCGUAGACGGUUGUAUAAGUCUGGAGUGAAAGCCCGGGGCCCAACCCCGGGACUGCUUUGGAAACUGUGUAACUUGAGUACAGGAGGGGCAGGCGGAAUUCCUGGUGUAGCGGUGAAAUGCGUAGAUAUUCGGAGGAACACCGGUGGCGAAGGCGGCCAACUGGGCUUUAACUGACGCUGAGGCUCGAAAGUGUGGGGAGCAAACAGGAUUAGAUACCCGAGUAU